AAGGUCUCACGUGGAGCCCGCUUGCAUAGAGCUGAAAGCUCCCAGUCAUUAGCCGGCAGCGACGGCGACAGUGACCCUUCCCCAAACCCCUCCCCGCUCUCGCACUCGUCGCCAUGUCCGCCGCCGCCGCCAGAGUCACAUCCAACUUCACCAACUUCACCACCUCCACUGCCCCCUCCUCGGGCGGUCGCCUCCUCCGUCCGUUCCGUGGGACUCCGCCCUCCCGCCGCGCCGUCGCUUCGAUGGCCGUAUCCACCCCAAGGUCGCCAUCCGCCGCCUCGUUCCUCGAGCGCCGCGAGUCCGAGCGCGCCCUCCACUUCGUCAAGUACCAGGGCCUCGGCAACGACUUCAUAAUGGUCGACAACAGGGAUUCGGCAGUGCCCAAGGUGACGCCAGAGGAGGCGGCGAAGCUGUGCGACAGAAACUUUGGUGUUGGUGCUGAUGGCGUCAUCUUCGUCAUGCCGGGGAUCAACGGUGCGGACUACACUAUGAGGAUAUUCAACUCCGAUGGCAGCGAGCCUGAGAUGUGUGGCAAUGGAGUUCGUUGCUUCGCUCGCUUUAUAGCGGAGGUUGAAAAUCUUCAGGGAACACAUAGCUUCAAAAUUCAUACUGGGGCUGGAUUAAUUAUCCCUGAAAUACAAGAUGAUGGAAAGGUUAAGGUUGAUAUGGGCCAACCCAUUCUGCAUGGACCAGAUGUUCCCACAAAACUGCCAUCCACCAGGAAUGAAGCUGUUGUUCAAGCUGAACUGGCAAUUGACGGGUCAACAUGGCAUGCAACCUGUGUUAGCAUGGGCAAUCCUCAUUGCGUCACGUUUGGUUCAAAAGAGUUAAAGGUUCUGCAGGUUGAUGAUCUGAAGCUUAGUGAUAUUGGGCCCAAAUUUGAGCAUCAUGAAAUGUUUCCUGCUCGGACCAACACUGAGUUUGUACAGGUCUUGUCUCGUUCACACCUCAAAAUGCGAGUUUGGGAGCGCGGUGCUGGAGCAACUCUUGCUUGUGGGACUGGUGCUUGUGCAGUUGUUGUUGCAGCUGUUCUUGAGGGCCGAGCUGAACGGAAAUGUAUAGUUGAUUUGCCUGGUGGGCCAUUGGAAAUUGAAUGGAGGGAGGAUAACAAUCAUGUUUACAUGACUGGUCCUGCGGAGGCUGUCUUCUACGGAUCUAUUGUACACUAGAGGAGCUGAGGUGGCGCCUACGUAGGACAAAACCACGGUUAACCAGAGUCAAAACAGGUGCUGGGGACGAAGAUGGAAGGGUUUACUUAACUCAGAGCCUAAAAAUAAGGUCUCUCAAACCACUUUCCUGGUACCAGUGUCACUCCGUUACUGUGGGCAAAAACGAGGGAAUGCUAUUGGCAGUACUAGAGGCUUUUUUUGGAAGCAUUUUAGGUGUACUUUACAUUUUAACCUUUUGUACUCCUUCAGUAUCAUGUUAGAACCCUGUGCUGGGUUAUGGAUCUGCCCUGUCUUCUUUAUUUGCUAAUAAGUGGGCUGCCUAUGCAUAACUUGAAUAUUGUUCUCUACAAAUUUACCUUGAUUUACUGCAGAAUGAUUGGGCUUACCUGUUAAUUGGCGAGAUUUGGUAUUAUCAGGAAGUUGUUAUAUGAAUGGGCUUCUGAUUGCUGA